GCGUUGGUGGUAUAGGGGUGAGCAUAGCUACCUUCCGAGCAGUAGACCCAGGUUCGAUUCCUGUCCAACAAA
rnacentral:tRNA from 1 species